rnacentral:piRNA from 1 species
UGCUUCAAUAUGAUGUGCAGUUUGAAUUU